AGUAAACCUGUUCUGGUUCUUUCCUCCUCUUCCUUCCAGCGUGUGGUUUAAUGUCUGAUGGUAUUUAGACCUAACAUUUGGUCCUUCGAGCCGGAUGCCAAUACACCUGAGGAUCCCAGCGGGCGGCAGCGGAGAUCCAGAAAGACUGCGCGCGGCAGGACCUCCCUAGGUGGGGUCCUAAAAUCCUUUUCAAGGGCUGGUUGUCUGCUCGUCAGCUGGGAUCCGAAGGUUGAAGGCAAUCCGAGGUGCAGAGGUGAAAAGAACCAGAGGGUGAGUUUGUUUUGUUUUUUAAAAGAAAAAAAAAAAAAAAGAAUGAGCGGCCGAGGGCUCGUCGUGCCCUAUAAAAGUCCUAGGACAGAACGGAAAGGUCCGUUCUAAAGGUACCAAAACGGAGAGGUCCGUUGGAAUAAAAGGACAGAGGUGUCCAAGACAAGUUACAGAACGGAGACGUCCGUCUAAACGUAACAAAACGGAGAGGUCCGUACGAAUAAAAGGACAGAGGUGUCCGACGGAGAAGUCCGUUUAAAAGGGUUAGCGGAGUCCGCGGGAAACCGAAAGUUCCGUAAUACUGUGUGAAUGAGAGUGUGAAUGGGAAUACGUAUCACUAGAUAUAGUAUUCCAUAUUAAAGCAGUGGGGAACACAUAACGUGGUUCUGUGGACGCAAUAGGCAAGGAUUCUCCACCAGAAUGCUGGUAGAAGUGAGAAUCACCACAGGAUCUUUUCGUUAUCCCACUGGAAACACCCGACUUUAGAAACCCCUAUGGUUUUACAGUUGGGACCAAAUUGAUUAAAAUGGGGAACGGGAAGAGUAAAACUAAUAUCCGAGAUACUCUAAAAUGAAAAGAUUGGAAAAUAAUUGAAAGGCAGGAUCCCGACCGACUUACAAA